GACGAACGCUGGCGGCGUGCCUAAUACAUGCAAGUCGAGCGGACCAAAGGGAGCUUGCUCCUGGAGGUUAGCGGCGAACGGGUGAGUAACACGUGGGCAACCUGCCUGUAAGACUGGGAUAACAUCGAGAAAUCGGUGCUAAUACCGGAUAAUAAAAAGAACUGCAUGGUUCUUUUUUGAAAGAUGGUUUCGGCUAUCACUUACAGAUGGGCCCGCGGCGCAUUAGCUAGUUGGUGGGGUAACGGCUCACCAAGGCGACGAUGCGUAGCCGACCUGAGAGGGUGAUCGGCCACACUGGGACUGAGACACGGCCCAGACUCCUACGGGAGGCAGCAGUAGGGAAUCUUCCGCAAUGGACGAAAGUCUGACGGAGCAACGCCGCGUGAGUGAUGAAGGUUUUCGGAUCGUAAAACUCUGUUGUUAGGGAAGAACAAGUGCCGUUCGAAAGGGCGGCACCUUGACGGUACCUAACGAGAAAGCCACGGCUAACUACGUGCCAGCAGCCGCGGU
rnacentral:rRNA from 1 species